UCGCUUCAGCAGCACAUAUACGAAAAAAUUGGAAUGAUACAGAGAAUAUUAGCAUGAUUCCUGUGUAAGCAUGACACAGACAAUGUUUUUUGACUUCUCU
rnacentral:snRNA from 1 species